rnacentral:siRNA from 1 species
UGGCCUGCGUUUGGUGACUC